CCAGGUUCGGCAUCCCCGUCUGAUCCGUGGCCCGGGAGUUUCGCUUUCCGUUCGGUGGGCGCAGGCAGGAAUUGAAUGCCUUCUUCCCAAAGAGAGCAGGGCGGCUACCACCAUGGAGUUCCCGAUGCAGCAAUUUUCGAGAAGAGGACAGAGGGAGCGAGAAGAAGAACAGGCAAGACGACGCGCCAUGAGUUCCUCCUGCAGCCAAUCCGCAGAUCCACAAUAUUUGGGGAGGUCGGGGAGAGUCUCGUGUAGGAUGGAUCGCCGGCAUAUGAGACAAGGCAACAGUGGUGGAGGUGGCGCUGCAGGAGGGAACAGUUUUGAGUGAGGACGAGCGGGUCUGUUGGGCGUCAGGAGCGGCGGCGAUGAGCGGCCAAGGACGAAUCUGCAGUGCUGCGCCGGCGGCGGCGAAGGUCUAAUCUGCAGCGAGGCGCAGGCGGCAGCAGUGAGAAAGGACAGCUCGCCUCCCACGUCUGAGCUGUCAAUGGGGAAGAUGAAUCUGCAGGCUCUUGGUUGGAAUAAGAGGUGAGGGGAAUGGAGUACAAAUUUGAACACCAUUGUUGUGUACUAUGUUUUUACAUUCUUGCUUUAUUUGUUUGCUGUUGGAAAACGAUUGUGUGAUACGAAUUGGUGUGGUUGCUGGUUGGUUUGUACUGCUGCUCUUCUGAAGAAUUGUUGCUAGUUUAAUCUAUGAGCCCCGUAUAGAAACCUGAUUGCUUGCUGCUGCUCCUCUGCGGUUUGCUGGUUGUUGAUAGUUUAAUCUAUUAGUCCCGUGUUAAUUCUUGAUAGCAUGAUUGCUUACUGCUGCUCCUCUGAAGAAUUUGAAGUAUUGAAUUUUCAGGCUGUCUAUGGGCAUGCAUUGUUGCUUAUGAUUUUUCGUGCUAGUAAUCCAUGGUUUAAUGUACUAUCAGUUACCGUAGUUUGUGUAAAUUUGUGGUUGGUGGAUUAGAAUGGUUGACAGAACCAUGAGUGAUCCAUUAUCUGGUUGUGGAUUGGGGCUGAUGGCCCAAGCUGGGCACCUUGCCCAACUCGUGUAAGCGCGUUCGAGAAGGCAGUGAGGGUGUUCGCAGAAAAGUUGACGAUUUCUACAACUUGUAUUCAUGGGAGAAGGGAUUUGGGAUUAGAUAUGGGAAAAAACGGCUAAAUGUGUAGAGAAUGAAGUGCAUGCAGGAAAAUUUUCUGCUGAUGUUUGGUAAGGAAGGCUAUGUUCGAUAUUAAUGUAUAUGUUCAUAGGAGUUGAAUUAGAUGAAGGUCAUGUGAAUCGUAAGACCUCUGAAGACAUUGUUUAUGUUUACGGGGGAAAGCUGGUGUGGAGAGCACAAAGUCCUAUCGGUGUGAAUGCCCAGCGUCGAUAAGGCUGUUAUGGACAGAGGAAAAUGGGUGGUAUAUCGCCGAGCAUCGGGAGAGUCAUAACCAUUCUUUUUCACCAAAUUUCGGUGAGACAGUUCACUGGCCGUCCCACAAGCACAUUGAUGUGUACAGCAGGGACGUGAUAAAAUAGUUGCGGCAGAAUAAUGCAUACCUUGUGAAGGUGUAUAUAGGAUAGUAGGCAGUUUUUUUGGAUCGAGGGAAAAUGUGCCAUUCACGAAGAGGUCUUUGUGUAAUCUGUGCGGCACGAUUAGCAGGGAACAUUCAGAUGACGAUGUAAGGAAAUUGGAGCGAAGGACAUCAUUUCACAUACAGAGUUCAGCCUGACAAAGACGGCAGGUUGCAUUACACGUUUUUCAGUGAUGUGUUAGACAUUUGACACAGCCUUUCGGCCUAUUUGUUGGUGUGAAUAAUCCUUUCCAGAGUGUUAUCCUGGAUGGAGUGCUUGUGUGUGACGAAACCAUCGAGGGUUUCGAAUGGGUUUUCUCUGAAUUUCUGAGAAUGAUGGGUGGCGCUGCACCGAUAACAAUACUUACCGGUACGUUCUUCAUUUCAUGGCUGUCAUUUAUAUGAUGGUGUUUUCAUGGCCUAAAAAAUAUGUUCGAUGUUGACUUUUAAGAAGUUGCUGCAGCUACAACACUUUGCCUCCUUGCCCAAUAACCCAAGAUCCUCACCAAGGUACACUUUGCCUUUUAAUCUAGAAAAGUGAUAGAAGUAGUUUAGGUUUUGUGACAGAUUUAGCAAGUGUGAAUUUCAUAUCACUAUGACAGAUUUAGUAAGUGUGAAUUUCAGACUGGUGUAUGUGUGAAUGAGAGAAUCUUUGACGUGGAUUCAGAUUAGUGUGGGAGUUCCUUGACUCUCCAUGUUGUGUAAAUAAUAGUUUUGUUAGCUAGAUGAUGAUGGUCCAUGCCUGACAAUCCUGUAUGUUGCAUGUACUGCCCACGUUUUGACAGAGAAAAAAGGAAAAACAAUGAGUUAUAGCUGCUGCCAUGAAACCCCCAAUAUGAUUGGCAUUCAUGAAAGUACACAUAGAAAUUUCUCGCAUUAGCACCACUGAGUUGUGAAUUUCUUCUUUUUAACAGGAGAUGUAUCUGUCUUGUCAUCAUAUAAUAAUUUUUUUGAUUAGACUCUGAUGGUUCAUCUACUAUCUGUGUAAUAGUAACUUGGACAAAGAGAGGGUGAACUAAGACAGUGCUUUAUAAUAGUACAUAUGUUUACAUAGAGAGCUUCAGAAACGCUAGCGUGUGGUUAUUAGUACUACUAGAUGUACUCCCUCCGUCCGAAAAAACUUGUCAUCAAAAUGGACAAAAAAGGGUGUAUCUAGAACUAAAAUACAUCUAGAUACAUCCCCUUUUAUUCAUUUUGAUGACAAGUAUUUCCGGACGGAGGGAGUAGUUGAUUUCCAGGCUGUCCAUGAAUGUUUUAGUUAUGUUGUUGGGUGCUUGUACUGUCCCUCAAUUGUUCUGCCACAAAGCACAAGCAACCUGCGGUUUCUAGUGUGAGUCUACAAUGCUAGUAAUCUUUAAAAUGUUUUCAUUUUUAGCUGAGAUAUUUUGCUACUAUAGUACUCCUUCAGUACAUAAACCUGCCACGGAAAUGUUUGAUUGCAGCCCAGAAGAACAGCCUUGCCAUAUAGUAACAAUGUAAUUUCUCCGUCCCAUCAUGCAAGACGUUUUUUGAUAGUAGUGUAGUGUCAAGAAACGUCUUACAUCAUGUGACGGAGGGAGUAACAUGCAAACCAUAGUUCAGCCACAAUAUGCAGGGAUAUGUUUGGUUAACAGUACAUAUAUUUUUUUCUUGAGAAAUAGCCUAGCAAGGACAAUGGAACUAGUAAGAAAAAAAGGUUCAACAAAAGUUUCAUUACUUAAUAUACUUUUCGGGGUUUCUGAAGUUGUAGAGCACACGACCAUUAGUCAUGCACACGGCUGCUGCAAUCUCUUUUGGUUCUUCCUGAAAGUCUAAAGAAUUUCACACAUCAAACAGCUCAUCCACUAGUGUGCCUUGUCUUUGUAUCUUUCACCUGAUUACUAAAAUGCUUAUGAGCAUCUAAGAAUUGUACUACUGCUAGAAACUUAGCACAAUCAUCCUAUUUUCCAUUUUUGAUACUGCAAUGGUGUCGUCUUUUGGUUGUUCUACUAUAGGCUUUUUGCAAGGCAUGUAGACAAGUCGAUGCUCCUGUCCAUUCUAGCAUGAUGUACUUUGUUAGAAUUCUGAAGAUUAGUGUGUCAUUAGUGCUCCUAUGAAUUCUGAAGCAAAACAACAGGCAGCAAGAAACCAAGCAUCACCCUGGUUCUCCUAUGAAUUCUGAAGAUUAAUGUGUCACUAGUACUCAUAUAUGUGGUGUUGUCAGCAUUGAGGGCAUUAUCUGAAAAUUAUUAUUUUGCGAUUCCAUCUAAACUGCAGUUACCUUAUUCUACAAUGUUCAGGGACAUGCUGUAAUUUUAUUUUUCUUAUGGGUCUUUGUGCAAGCUGUACUGAAUUUUCAGAUUAAUAUAAUGCAGCUCCAGCCGAUGCUAUAUGUAUCGGAGUUUGUAGGGACCA